AAAAAGAGUGGAAGAAGAGCGGGAAGGGGAAGUGGGAGCAGAUGGAGAGUCUGCCUGUUAGGGUUCCUUUUUGGGAGCCUCCUCUCAUACACAGAGGAUAUAAAUAACACGAUAGAAAAUAUGCUUCAGUCAUCCCUUUUCUGAUCUAGAUUCCCGUUUCAAAAAGAUCUUUUUUUUUUUCAAAAACUCUUUAAAACGACUUCUUUUCUCGAAACCCAUCUCAAAACCCUCGAGUUCCUUGAGGAACUCUUUCGCUGCGAUGCGUCUCCGGUCACUGUGACCAUCAGUGAUGCCUAUUGAGCCGUGACGGUGGAAUGCCCAAUCAAGUAUCUGCAACCCAAUUUUUACCGUCACAAUCUCCUCUAUCACCAAGCCGAUAUGACGAAUUAGGAUUCCGCGUAUGGAUGUUUCGGUUCUAGAGUAGAGAGUCUUUUGUUCUCGGUGGAGUAGAAGGAGUGGAGAAGGGACAUUAAAGCUUCGCUUUUGAAUUUACAAGUAAGGGAGCGAUUGACCCCAUAGAUAUUGGAAAGGAUGCCAUCAUCGGACUUUUUGGAAGGAAGCCUGUACCGUAAAAUGGAUCCCCAACCAAACCAAGAAGGAGUGUCCAACAGAGGUUCAGAAGUGUAUCAGUGAUGCUGCUAAGAAUUCUGGGGAGAUGUUGGUUAAAGAUUCUUUACCAGCAACUGUUGAAGUUGAAAAGGUUGAGGAUUGCAUUUCUGGGGAGCUGCUGGAUAAGGAUUCUUUACCAACAACUGUUGAAGUUGAAAAGGUUGGAAAUUGCAUUUCUGAGAAGUUGUAAGCCUUGGUUAAAGAUUCUUUAAGGCUUCCUCCCAAAAAGUUCAAAGCUUGACGAUGACAUUCCUUCUAAUAUCUAUAGAGGUCAAUCUUUCCCUCACUUGUAAAUCCAAAAGUGAAGUUUCAAUGUCCCUUUUCCACUACUCCAACUCCACUGAGAACACAAGGUUCCUUCUCUAGAUCCGGAACUAUUCAUAUGCUGAAUCCUAACUCGUCGUAUGGUGUUUACGGCUUGGUGAUAUAAGAGACUAUGAUGGUAAAAAUUGAGUUACAGAUACUUGAUCGUGCAUUCCACCAUCACAGCACAGUAGACGUUAUUUAUGGUGGCAGUGAUCAAAUAAACAUCGCAACGAAAGAGUUUCAAGAAACUCGAAGGUUUUGAGAUAAGUUUCGGUGAAGUUGAUGAAAUGAGAAGAUGAUGAAAUGUGAAGAGUAAUUGUUUUAAAGAGUUUUGAGAAAAAAAGUCUUCUUGAAACGGGAAUCAAAAUCGGAAACGGACUGACUCGGCAUAGUUUUUAUCAUGUUAACAAUGUCCUCAGUGUAUAGUUUUUAUCAUGUUAACUAUGUCCUCAGUGUACGGGAGGGGCUCAAGAAGGACAGUUAUCUUUAAUCUACAUUUCCAUCUGCUUCCACUUCCA